GCGGGGCCCCGGGGGGCUCCGUGCUGGGACAGCCGCAGGGCUCUCAGCGGGGAGGGCGGCGACGGCUUCGUGUUCCGCAGCUUGCUGAGCGCCUCGCUCCUCUCACGGGCUCGUGGCUGGGCUCCGCAGGGCUGGCCGGGACUCCUCAGCGUGUCCCCGUGGCUCAACAAGCUGUCCGGGGGCCCAGGCCCGUGGCAGGCUCUGGAUCUUCGUGGAGGGGGGCAGAGCACGCCGAGCCGCACAGAGGUUGGCGUUAGGCGCUGUGGGGCAGGUGCCCGUGCCCCCCGCCUCAGCUGCUCUGCUGAAGGGCAAAGCAGGAGGCAGAGCAUGCUAACAGCACGCUGUGACCCCGGGGCUGACGCUAGUUUUUCCCUCGAGUGCCGCACAGUUGAGUACAGCCGGCUGAAUUUCACAGAGGAGAUGCUACCACCCCUUACUGGAGAGCGCCUGACAUUGCGGCUGCCAGAAGUGUAAGGUACUGUCCCGGAGCAGGAAGAUGUGUUGUGCCUUAAAAUCAGUGCCUGGCUGACUGCUUAAACCUUCUACCUGUGCUUGUGGCUGUGAUUUGGACUGCUCUAAGAGAAACACAGGUUCUGCUUCAGCUCCACAGACCAGCCCUACUUGAACAGAAGUUUGAGGCUCCCAGCGAGAAGCACCCAGAUACUACAAAAGUUACAAAGUGGUCUGACUAUUCUGCUCCUUCCAGUACUGCAAAGGGAAAAACAGGUGAUCAAUCUUCAUGAUCCGUUCCGUGGCGAGCUGGGAAAAAAAAUGCAGUUGCUAAUCAAUGUCUGAACAGUCUGAAGCUCCGGAAGAGAUCCAAGGAGUCACUAUCAAACUAUCCUGUAGCAUGAGAUCAUUGCACACAGAAGAACAGUCAUAAAAUAGGCAACUAUCUACAAAGGUCUGAAAGGGCCGCAUCCCUCUUGUGUUUCCUCUUUUUGCCAUGGAAGUACUGAUGGUGUGAUUUGCUGCCUUGAUGUUGUUUGUUUGUGACUGAGGUACCGUGGCUUGAGUUUGCUGGACCUUGGAA